AAUCUACACAGUUUCACCAAAAGUGACCCACACAAACCCCAGUAAGUUCAAGACCCUUGUCCAACUCUUCACAGGCUCAUCUUUGAUCUUCUUCUUCAUCCUCUAGUUCAACCUCUACUACUAGUAUUCGACGUGUAAUCCUUUUAAUGACAAUUGAAGAUGGCACAAUAUCACCGGCGGCAAGGUAUGCAACAAUAGAAAAGGCGAAAUCACCCAAGGAGAAUAGGAAGCCAGCAAGCAGCGAUGUGGGUUUAUCAUAAGGGGUAGAAAUGGGCCAAGUGAUGGAGAGAUCAGGUAAUUUGUUUCCUUGAAUUCUUUUACCAGGGCCUGCUUUACCUCCUCCAAUACCACCAAAUUUCUUCUCUCUACUGUCUGAUCCAAACAUGGUUAUAUUCUUUCAUGAUUUGAGCCAUGUGUUCAGCAUCUCACAUGGUGUUAGCGCAU
rnacentral:misc_RNA from 1 species